rnacentral:rRNA from 1 species
GCGCACCAGGCGCGAAAACUCCGCAAUGCGCGAAAGCGUGACGGGGUCACCCCGAGUGCCGUCCGCUGAGGAUGGCUUUUGCCUGGUCUAACCAGCCGGGUGAAUAAGGGGAGGGCAAGUCUGGUGUCAGCCGCCGCGGUAAUACCAGCUCCCCGAGUGGUUGGGACGAUUAUUGGGUCUGAAGCGUCCGUAGCCGGCCGGAAAAGUUCCCCGUUAAAUCUGGCGAUCCAAUCGUUGGGCUGCGGGGAAUACUCUUCGGCUUGGGGGCGAGGGAGGUCGGCGGUAGUCCCGGGGUAGGGGCGAAAUCCUAUAAUCCCGGGAGGACCUGCAGUGGCGAAGGCGGGUAGCCAGAACGCGCUCGACGGUGAGGGGUGAAAGCUGCGGGAGCGAACCGGAUUAGAUACCCGCGUAGUCC